UACAGAGGGUGCAAGCGUUAAUCGGAAUUAUUGGGCGUAAAGGGUGCGUAGGUGGUUUGAUAAGUUAGGUGUGAAAGUCCUGGGCUCAACCUGGGGAUUGCGCUUAAUACUGUCAAGCUAGAGUAUUGUAGAGGAAAGUGGAAUUUCCGGUGUAGCGGUAAAAUGCGUAGAUAUCGGAAGGAACAUCAGUGGCGAAGGCGGCUUUCUGGACAAAUACUGACACUGAGGCACGAAAGCGUGGGGAGCAAACAGG
rnacentral:rRNA from 1 species